rnacentral:tRNA from 1 species
UCCGCGGUAGCUCAAUGGUAGAGCAACAAGCUGUUAACUUGAAGGUUCGAGGUCCGAGUCCUCGCCGUGGAGCCC